GCCCUUUAACUCAGUG
rnacentral:tRNA from 1 species